CCCAGGUCAGGCGGGGCUA
rnacentral:rRNA from 5 species